rnacentral:rRNA from 1 species
UACGGAGGGUGCAAGCGUUAUCCGGAUUCACUGGGUUUAAAGGGUGCGCAGGCGGUUGGGUGUGUCAGAUGUGAAAUCCCGAGGCUUAACCUCGGAACUGCGUCUGAAACUACUCGACUAGAGUACUGGAGAGGGUAACGGAAUUCACGGUGUAGCAGUGAAAUGCGUAGAUAUCGUGAGGAACACCAGAGGCGAAGGCGGUUACCUGGACAGUUACUGACGCUCAGGCACGAGAGCAUGGGGAGCAAAAGGG